GAUGAACGCUGGCGGCGUGCCUAAUACAUGCAAGUCGAGCGAAUGGAUUAAGAGCUUGCUCUUAUGAAGUUAGCGGCGGACGGGUGAGUAACACGUGGGUAACCUGCCCAUAAGACUGGGAUAACUCCGGGAAACCGGGGCUAAUACCGGAUAACAUUUUGAACCGCAUGGUUCGAAAUUGAAAGGCGGCUUCGGCUGUCACUUAUGGAUGGACCCGCGUCGCAUUAGCUAGUUGGUGAGGUAACGGCUCACCAAGGCAACGAUGCGUAGCCGACCUGGGAGGGUGAUCGGCCACACUGGGACUGAGACACGGCCCAGACUCCUGCGGGAGGCAGCAGUAGGGAAUCUUCCGCAAUGGACGAAAGUCUGACGGAGCAACACCGCGUGAGUGAUGAAGGCUUUCGGGUCGUAAAACUCUGUUGUUAGGGAAGAACAAGUGCUAGUUGAAUAAGCUGGCACCUUGACGGUACCUAACCAGAAAGCCACGGCUAACUACGUGCCAGCCGCCGCCGUAA
rnacentral:rRNA from 1 species